AUUACAAUCAGCUGCAAAUUCUGGAAGCUCGACAAUUUAUUAGUAUAAACAUUAGCUCUUUAUAAUAAUGCAGUUGCAUCAAAUUGCAAAAGAGAAUAAAGCGAGUUAUCCACGCAGAAAGGCGUCGGAUGAGAGGCAGGAAAUGUUGAAUUUAGUUGAAAUAGUCACAAUCGUGCAUAUUUUAAAUAAUAAAAAAAUAAAUUACCGAGCAGACUUUAUUUCUAAUAACAUAUACAUUCACAUCAAUACAUGUAUGCAUUAAUGCAUUAGUAUAAUUGGUUUUGGUGAAUGCAUUUUACAAUGGGGAAAUUCAAAUUUUUGCGGAAAAUCAAUUGCGAUUAUUGCAAAGUGCAGAAAACGCCCUUAAUAUUUAACCAUUUAAUGUAUAAGCUUUUACUAAAAAUAAACAUGUUUUAAAAGUACUAUGAUAAUAUAUUAAUGCAAGAUUACUCUCAAUUACUUUUUUAAUUCAUUGUAAAAGUUGUCAUACAACUUUAAGAAACACUCAUUUAAUUUAUUAAUAUGGCUUCUAAUCACAGUUUUUGAAUACACAUCCUACUUGAUUUAAUACAACCAAAAUCGCGUACAGAGAAACACAACUUGCUGUUGGAGAGUGCAAGAACUAAAUGAUUAAAGGCGACCGCUUACUGCUUUCAGGAUAAAAAUGCAUAUACCGAACAUGAAAGCAUCAUCAACGAGGAAACUCAGAGUAGGAGGUGGGAAAACAAGAAGGCAACAGGACACAUGAAAAGGAGUUCAUGGAGUAUGCACAUAGCACAAAAAAUAUAUAGAAGCAGACAGUGGGCAAAGUUGAUAUACUAGUCUGUACAGUUUAAACAAAAUGUACAAUCAAAGAUUUUUAUUUUGAAUAAAAUAAUUUGAUAAACAAAGUA